AAUGAACGUUGGCGGCGUGGAUUAGGCAUGCAAGUCGCGCGAGAACUGUAGCAAUACAGGGAAAGCGGCGUAAGGGACAGUAAUACCUAGAAACGUACCCCCGGGUCUGGGAUAGCGGCGGGAAACUGCCGGUAAUACCAGAUAACGUCUCCGGACCAAAGGUGUGAUUCCACCUGGGGAGCGGUCUAGGCCCUAUUAGCUUGUUGGUGGGGUAACGGCCUACCAAGGCAAAGAUGGGUAGCAGGUGUGAGAGCACGACCUGCGUCACUGGGACUGAGACACUGCCCAGACACCUACGGGUGGCUGCAGUCGAGAAUCUUCGGCAAUGGGCGCAGCCUGACCGAGCGACGCCGCGUGCGGGAUGAAGGCCUUCGGGUUGUAAACCGCUGUCGAAGGGGAUGAAAUUCCGGUGGGUUCUCUCGCCGGAUUGACAGAUCCUUGGAGGAAGGACGGGCUAAGUUCGUGCCAGCCGCCGCAGUAACAC
rnacentral:rRNA from 1 species